CUAGUUUAGGAUAUCAGAAAAAGAAAAAGAAAAACACAACAAAGAAGAUUAGCAUGGCCAUGCGCAAGGAUGACACGCACAAACCGAGAAAUGGUCCAGAUUUGG